GUAUUGCGUUAGCGGUAGAAGUGACAUCCUUUUUUUGCUGCCAUAUAUGGCAAAAAAAGAUAUAACGGAUGACGCGACCCUUG
rnacentral:sRNA from 1 species